UCUAGCAUGUGCGCGAGUCAUUGGGACUUUUUUUCAGGAAAGCCCAGAGGCGCAAUGAAAGUGAAGAUCGGCCUUUUCGGCUUGAUCGAGGGAGGAUGGCUCAUUGUUAUUUUUUAUAAUGACGGGCUCGCACUCCCGGGGCGUCUCGCGCUCAUUUCGAGCGGAGGCGCACCCAGAGCGUACACGCUGGGACCCGAAAGAUGGUGAACUAUGCCUGGUCAGGACGAAGUCAGGGGAAACCCUGAUGGAGGUCCGUAGCGAUUCUGACGUGCAAAUCGAUCGUCGGAACUGGGUAUAGGGGCGAAAGACUAAUCGAACCAUC
rnacentral:rRNA from 2 species